UGGGGGAUUUUGCACAAUGGGCGCAAGCCUGAUGCAGCGACGCCGCGUGAGGGAUGAAGGCCUUCGGGUUGUAAACCUCUUUCGCUGGGUUGAAAGGCCAUGCUUUGGGUGUGGUUGAUUUGAACUGGUAAAGAAGUACCGGCUAACUACGUGCCAGCAGCCGCGGUAAUACGUAGGGUACUAGCGUUGUCCGGAUUUAUUGGGCGUAAAGGGCUUGUAGGUGGUUUGUCGCGUCUGUCGUGAAAUCCUGUGGCUUAACCAUGGGCUUGCGGUGGGUACGGGCAGGCUUGAGUGCGGUAGGGGAGACUGGAAUUCCUGGUGUAGCGGUGGAAUGCGCAGAUAUCAGGAGGAACACCGGUGGCGAAGGCGGGUCUUUGGGCCGUUACUGACACUGAGGAGCGAAAGCGUGGGGAGCGAACAGG
rnacentral:rRNA from 1 species